CUCGCAUGUGCACUAACCUGCUGUGAGCAAAGCUGACUCGUGCGGUUGCCACGUUGUGUCUGAGAUGCGUAGCACCACAUGAUUCAGCUUAGUUCGCAGUAGCCUCUAACAGCCGCUGCUG
rnacentral:pre_miRNA from 12 species